CACGGCCUGACAAAAAAAAAAAACACAUAAAAGCACUUUUUUUUUUUUUUUUUCCUUCUAAAAACGUGCUGAAAAGAAUGAUUAGGAGUGGCGUAGUUUUAAAACUUAGGGUAAAGAUGUCUUCCUGCGCGUCAGCGUACACGCUCCUCUGUCAAAAUUUAAGCCAUUAGGUUUAGCUUUCUUCUUAACGCUUUCCAAAAAUACCUCGAGCCCAAGCAAACACUUGAACAACUUGUAACUUUUGAAUUCGUUUAGAGGAAGUGCAACACCGGUUUAGGACACUUAACCCAUCUACCUACCUACCUGCAGAAGCAAAAUCUGUGAACGCUCCCUGAAUGCGGAGUUCCACCCUUGGGGGAAUUUCCUCUGCUCUUUAAUCUGCUAAGCAUCUUUCAAAACUGACCUUGCCCACGGGGAAAAUAAGGCAGUACUAGAAGUAUGGCCCUUGUGGUCUGCUAUUGAAAACCUGUAUGAGGAAAUCUGUGGGCUUCUGAAAGGGUGUGGUGUUAUUUUAACAGCCAAAUAUGUACAAAGAAAAAAAAAUCUAGAGUGGGUAACUCGGUGUCGAUUUGCAGAAAGAUGGGUUAAAGUUAAGAUUCUUAAGGAAUUUAAGGAAUCAAACUAUUUAACCUCCCAGAGCUACAAGGCCAACUCCGGUGUUUUGUGUCUAAUGUUGGGCAUUCUUCACGAGUUCACUGCGAUGCAGUUUUGUGGUACGAUUGAUCUGAUAAAAUGCAGGCUGCCAUCAAAAGGUGAGGUUCUCUGUACCUGCACCAUGUCCCUUUUCCAUUCUGUUUAGUGACGGGGCAAGCUGGAUUGGUGUUCCGACACUACAGAACACUUUCUUGCUAGGUUAUUCUUAUAUUACAAUGAACUUGCUGAUCUGGUUUACCACAUGAUUGCUUGACACAGCAAAAGGAAAUGGGUAGAAAUAAAUGGCAGAAGAAGAAAGAGGAAGAGAAUAAGACUUUCUUAGUAGUUGUUCUCAGGGUCGAUUAAUGAAAGUCUUUUUGAAAAACGUCUUCUUUUUAAAAAGAGAAAGUGAGGCUAUUGUGUUAAUUCAAUUCCAAGGCAGGAAGAGACAGUCUUCUAGUUUACUCCAAAGUAUUUUGUACAUCUGGCUUUUCUCUGUGUAUAACAGCAGUUAUGUUUUUAAUACUGUCAUUGGAUCUCUUGAGGUUAUAGGCAUUAAAAUGUAGUAACUUAAAGACAUAAAUAUAGGGGCUGCAUAUUGUGAAACAAUUCUUGUAGCUUUUGAUACAAAUUGAUGUAUCUGUUAGCAACUUCUAGGCUGCAGACGGUGGAAUGUUUUCUCAGUGCAUUUAAUGAGGCUGUUAAUUUUUCUUCGUUAUUAUUAGGUAUCCAGACUGUAACCUGGUAUGUAGCCUGUGUCAGAGGACAUCAAACCUGCUUGCCUUGCCACUGAAUGGUUACAAUUCAAGACAGAUAGGAAACAAGACUUCGGGUGCUGCAGUCCUCUACAAAUUUAUUUAUUUAUUUUUAAAUAGGAAAAACUGCAAACUAGGUAGAAAUGGAAGGAGAUGCAGCCAGUGGUAGAGAAGUAUGUGUAGUGAAAUACUCAUUUCUAAAAUAGUGAGAGUGUUCAUCGUGGGGCUGUUGGAGAUUACAGCUGGAAGGCCAGACAGUGCUUUGAAAAUGUGCAAAACAGGACGUGCUAAGGGAAGAAUACUAAUUACAGCAUUAAAUGUGGUUUUCUUCUGUACAUGAGAGAUUUUUACCUGAUCAAAUACUCUUCACUUCUAAUAAUCCUGCUGCAUGAGCAGUGCAUUGGAUUUCUCUGUGAAGAGGGGGUUUUAUCAUUUUAGAUUUUAGACAGUUGUCUGAUAUAUUUGUCAGCUCUUGAGCUAUAUUUCAGCAACUGGUUAACCUUUGAGUAAGGGGCUGUAGUUGUUUUUAGUGGCUUUAGGAAGCUUCUAAUUUUUGUUGUUUUGUGACUUUUUCCUUUAAAACAAUCCAGCUUUCAAAGAAGCCAUCUCCUCACUUUGCUUUUCUGCUGAGGCUCUUCAUACCAUUCUUGCUUUCAGGCCUGUUUUUCUAUUUAGACCUGCCACUGGAGAUACAAAAGAGUGGAGUGGGAGCUGAGAAUAGUUGAAGCUUUCUUCUAGCUUUCCUUCACUACGCAAGGGUGAAAGCAAAUAAGAGGAAAGCAGAAAAUGCUUUAGGUGCAAGUUGAGUGGAAUUUUAAUGCUGGUGUCUGUGACGGCAUUGAGAAGCUGGUGUAAAAGGACAGAAGGGAAGUGGGGGGGAGGAACAUUACUGAGAGAAACUAAAUCUGUUGCAACUAAAUUUGUUGCAAAAACACUUAGCACUUCUUUGAAAACAACCUUCUAUUAAUGAUACUUCAAUUAAAAUCAAAAUUGUUAGGAAACAAAGUUUCUAGUCCUUUGAAAAAAAAAAAUCUUUUUUUUUUUUUUAAACUUUGUAUUGGAAAACCCAGUAGAGGUCUUGUGUAGUUCAGUAUGUAUCAGAAGCUGCAUUUUUAAACUGCUGUUACUGUUUAGUACCGCAGUUUCUUUCCUUUCAUGAGUGUUAUUUGUUACUCAACUGUUAAGAGGAAUCUGAGUUGCCUGUUCCCUUUCUUGAUAAAAGCAUUCUGUAGGAGAAAUUAUCAGAAAGAAUUCAGAGGAAUUUAGGUUGACUCACCUUGUCCUGCUGCUGGGUGAGGGUUUGUUAAAUUAUGACGUGGGUGUUUUGUAUGCUGAGUUCACUUGACUGUGUAGUAUGUGUAAUAAACUAUCCUUUUUUGUCAGAUAGUUGUAUUGCAGAUGUUUAAUAAAAAUCCUGUGAAAAGGGAAAAGGCAAACUUGUGGCUGACGUACGGAACUGAAAAGGACUGUUCAGAUUUGUCCCUGCAGUUACUGUGAGAUAUCUCUGCACUGUGCUUCUAUUUUUUAUUUUCAGAAGUGAUACUGCCUUUGUUAGUUAUGCUGAUAACAAAGUUGUUAAUCUUAGCCUGAUACCUUGAAACCUCAAAAAUAAAAUAAAAUAAGAAAGCAGAUGUGUCUUUUGUAUUUUGGUUAUUUUGUUCUAGAAAUACCCGUUCAGGAGGUGCAGCCAGUCUACUUAAGCAAAUCUAAAUCAGUGCUAAUAACCAUCUUCUCCAUCCUACCGGAAUCUUACAAAGUGGUUAGUGAAAGGAGAGUAGUAAAGAGGAGCACAGCAGGUCCUCAGGCACAUUCUAAUUUUGUGCUUAUUCCAGAGGACACCAGCCAGGAAAAGAUGUAAUUUUGUAUGCAAGCCUAGGGAUGUGCAUUGCUAGAUAAAAGUCCUUGUAUUCAAGUGAUUGCGGCUACCCAUGUGCCUAGUAAAAAACAGGUUAUUGAUAUUUCCAGAAUGGGGGCACUAGUUUAAUAUGCCUCUUGAGUCCCUAUGUUUUGUUGUUUUAAACCUCAUUAAUUUAUGAGAUUUAAUUAUUUUUUUUUCUCCCAGAAAAAAAAAAAAAACAAACCCUGUGAAGUGCUAAAAUCAUAUUGUUAUUUGCUCUUAAAUGCAGCAAUGUAAACAGGCUUAACAUCUGUUUAUCAAUAAAUACUUAAAAGAUAAUUUGAAAACGCCAGUAGUAAGUAGUGUUUAACUCCAUAUGAAGUACUGUAAAACUAAAGUUUACCAGACUUACUGUUUUGUAGAUGCAGAUCUGUACUUCAUCAGAGGGAAAUGUUCAGGAAUGUGCUGUGCAGCCAUGAGUAAACAUUUGGGGAGGUAACUCUGUAUUUCUAUUGUAUAGAAUAAAACAUAAACAGAAAACAAAUCACCUUUAGUUUAAAAAACAUUUCAACAGUGCUUUUAUCAGCUUCAGUAUUUACAUUUUCUAAAACUUCCCCAGUUUUAGAAAACUGUUAAACUCUGGGUAUGCGUGUAGUACAUUAUUACUGGAAAUGCAUGCUGUACAAAGAUCUAUAUUUCUUGCUUUUCUCUAUCUUCUGCCAUCUUAUCAUUUCUGCUUUAUUAUUUGUUAUUCUUCCCUUUUGGUCUCCAGUUUCUCCUUUUACUUAAGUAGAACCUUGAAAAGUAGUGUUUGGUGCUUAAAGUCAUCAAAGUAUAUAGCGUGCAGUCCUUUUGUGCAUUUUACUGUCAUCUACUCAAGAAAAAGUCUGAGAUAAGGAACAGUACUCUGUACCACCCACCCCUUUAUGUUACCCAUCCUGGUUUGUCAUCCCUUGUUCUUUCUCCAUAUGUUUUUUUUUUUUUUUAUUGA